UAGGGAAUCUUCCGCAAUGGGCGAAAGCCUGACGGAGCAACGCCGCGGGAGUGAUGAAGGUGUUCGGAGCGUAAAACUGUGUUAUUAGGGAAGAAUAAAUGUGGAAGUAACUAUGCACGUCUGGACGGUACGUAAUCAGAAAGACACGGCGAACUACGUGCCAGCAGCCGCGGUAAUACGUAGGUGGCAAGCGGUAUCCGGAAUUAUUGGGGGUAAAGCGCGCGUAGGCGUUUUUUUCAGUCUGAUGUGACAGCCCACGGCUCAACCGUGCAGGGUCAUUGGAAACUGGAAUACUUGAGUGCAGAAGAGGAAAGUGGAACUCCAUGUGUAGCGGUGAAAUGCGCAGACAUAUGGAGGAACACCAGUGGCGAAGGCGACUUUCUGGUCUGUCACUGCCGCUGAUGUGCGAAAGCGUGGGGAUCAAACAGG
rnacentral:rRNA from 1 species